CCUACGGGUGGCAGCAGUGAGGAAUAUUGGUCAAUGGCCGGAAGGCUGAACCAGCCAUGCCGCGUGAAUGUCAGUGCCCUAUGGGCGGUAAAGUUCUUUUGUGCGGGAGCAAGAAGGUGCACGUGUGGCCAUACGCGAGUACCGUACGAAGCAGCAGAGGCACACGCUGUCCCAGUAGCCGCGGCAAUGCGGAGGAUGCAAGUGUUAGCGCGAUUUGUUGGGUUUGAACGGUGCGUAAGCGGGGAGGGAAGGCGGCGGUGAAAGGCCCCCGCUCCACGGGGUGAAGUGCACUUGAUACUGCCUUGCUAGAGUGCGGGUGACGUGGGAGGAAUGUGUGGUGUAGCGGUGAAAUGCAUAGAUAUCACACAGAACACCGAUUGCGAAGGCAUCUCCCGAGUCCGAGAUUGACGCUGAUGCACGAAAGCGUGGGUAUCGAACAGGAUUAGAUACCCGUGUAGUC
rnacentral:rRNA from 1 species